rnacentral:SRP_RNA from 1 species
GCUGGGCGUGGUGGCACGCGCCUGUAAUCCCAGCUACUUGGGAGGCUGAGGCAGGAGAAUCACUUGAACCCGGGAGGCGGAGGUUGCAGUGAGCCAAGAUCGUGCCACUGCUCUCCAGCCUGGGUGACAGAGUGAGACUCUGUCUCAA